rnacentral:lncRNA from 1 species
CCGAGACCCUUAACAGGAAGCUGUGGUUUUUGCACCGAGUUUGCCGGAGGGUAGUGGGCAAGUAAAGUACUGGAUUUGAGGCCCUUGGAUGCGUUUUGCUGGAGGAGAUCUCAGACCCUUCAAGGUUCUUUGCUUCACUUCUGUUGUCCGCUGAUCGCUCCCGGAAUCCUCCUGAAACACCGAGCACACGCCAGACGAAUUUAGCUUCGGUGGUCACGAGUUCUCAACCUUUAGGGCAGGUUCCCGCCCCUCUCAUAGCCAGCGUGGCCAGACCACUGACCUUCUAGACUUGAAAGCUCCUCCUCCCGGGAAGGCUUGCAGGCUCUGCACCGAGGCGAUCAUCCACGGGCAAGCUUUGGCUAAGUAUUCCUGGGGCUUGAGGUUCUCACUUGGAGUUCUAGGCGUGCGUCCUGCCCGCAGUCAGCUGCCCCGAGCGCCUCGGCGAGGUGCCGGAGUGCGCUCGCCUCUGGGAGCCACCUGCUCCCACUCUUUGGCAAAUAACUUUCCAACAUCCCCUAAGCAGCUAGGUGGGAUGGUUUGUGGUCGCGGUAGCUGCAGCCCUCCUGCCCCGGGCAGCUUUCUAAGAGGAGCCUCACCAGCCGGCCUCCCUGGUGACUAUGGUUCCUUCGUUCCUCAUUCCCUACACCUACGGUCCAGAAAGGACUGAAUACCUGGAGCCCGACAGACAAUCACCAAAACCCAAUGGUAGCACCCGGCAAACACCAACCCGGGUCCCACCAAUAUUUCUCUACCUGACUGAAAUAUCGCGUCGUCUUUCUGAAAACAUGAUCCUCCCUAGUGCCAGGAGGGAGAGGAGCCUCCAAACUGAUCAAAUGUUGGCAGUUAGUUAACCUUUCAAUGAACCUGUCCAGAUAACAUGUGUGUUAGAGCAUCUCAAAUACAUUGCUUCCCGGUAUAGAUGAUAUUGGUGGAAUCUCUCCUACGACUGAUCGACGGUGAUGAGGUGUUAUAUGAUGUUAUAUGAUGCUUAACUUAUACCCCAUACACUAUUCUAAGUGGUGUGCAUGAAUUAAUUCGUUUACUACGGAAAGACACUAGGACUUGCUUACUUUAUCUGUCAAGUAAUGGCAAUGCUGUACACAUCCUCACUACAAAAUAGACCUGAGUAUAUAAUUUUUUAAUUUUAGAAUAUAUACACCUUUAUUAGAUAUUCUAAAUUGCUUUCCUAACAUUUAUGAAUGAGAGGGAUUUCCUCACAUUCUCAUAAUUUUGUCAUAAAUGUCAUAUAGAUACUUGUAUUAUAAUUAAUUUAUAUGUUCAUGUCGAUAAUGAAUAUGGUUAUCUUUCAUGUGUUUCCCCCUCCCCAGGUGCUUUUUAUUGUCUUAGAAUUGCACACAAACCUGUUAAUCCAAUUUAUCUCGAAUAGUUCAUUUUCUUAUGAAAAAGGUUUAUUAUGUUUUUAGAGACAGGGUCUCACUCUGUAGCCCUGCCUGGCCUGGAACCUGCAAUCCUCCUGCCUUAAGCUGCCAAGUCUGCGGUGCACCAGCACACCCCACUUGAAAAGGACUCAUUCUCAAGUCUCUCUUUCUUUAACAAGCUGCUGGAUUUUCACUGGUUGUUGUUUUGUUUCGUUUUCAUACAGACUCGUGUAAACAGUUGACCUGUGCUUUGGAAAGUUGUGGGGGAAGUCUUGCUUUAUUCUGUUUAGCUUGUCCUUGGAAUGGGACGGGCUGUCAAAGCUGUUAUGUUUCUCAAGAAAAAGAAACAGUAUUGGGUAAUUUAUUUUUUUCCUCCUUCCUGGAAUAUUUUAUAAAGAUAUAAAGCCUAUGUCCUUUGGAAAAAC